GGGCGAGUUGACCUACAAUCUGACUAAAUAUAUGCGGGGCAGGCCUACAUGCAUUUGAAAAGUGUUCGUUGCUUUUUUUUCUCAGUUAUCUGGAGAUAUAAAUCGUCUACAUCGCUGAUGAGGAUGGACAUUAUACUGCCAAGACUACAUUAGUGAUAUCAAGUAAGCCGGACUUCAGAGCACAAGUAAGGAGAGGCUGCAACUGCAUUCAUCAUGCCUAUCAAACAUAAGGAGCUGUACAUUGCUAAGUCAAUGCAUGAACUCAACCUGAAGACAAAUGUUGAUACUGACAAAAAUACCAAAAUAAAAAUAUACUGUAGGUCUGCCAAUAGGAUGUUCCAAGAGGCUGAAAAGGCUGACAGGAAUAUGGAUGAAGAACGUGCUUAUGUCCUGUACAUGAAGUUUACCAGCCUUGUGCAGUAUAUAUGUAAGGCAAAGGAGUACAAAGCAGAUAAGGAAUACUAUGAUUCCCUUGGAGGGAUAAAGAAUGUGUUGACUGCUAUCGGCAAAGCAGAGGAGCUUCAAAAAUCUCUGAUAACAAG